UGUCCAGAUGUGAUCAAUAGAAUCAGGAGA
rnacentral:piRNA from 1 species